AUACUUUAACCUGACAAGGGAGAGACCAGGGUCACGAAGGUGGUUUUCCUAGGGCGAGGCUUAUUCAUUGCACUCCAGAUGUGCUGACCCCUGUGAUUUCCCCAAACAUGGGAAACUCAACUGCAUAAUUGUGAUAGUGAGGGACUGUGUUCAUGCUUUCCCCUG
ensembl:snRNA U1 U1 spliceosomal RNA